rnacentral:rRNA from 1 species
AGUGAACGCUGGCGGUAGGCCUAACACAUGCAAGUCGAACGGCAGCACAGUAAGAGCUUGCUCUUACGGGUGGCGAGUGGCGGACGGGUGAGGAAUACAUCGGAAUCUACUUUUUCGUGGGGGAUAACGUAGGGAAACUUCCGCUAAUACCUCAUACUACCUACGGGUGAAAGCAGGGGAUCUUCGGACCUUGCCCGAUUGAAUGAGCCGAUGUCGGAUUAGCUAGUUGGCGGGGUAAAGGCCCACCAAGGCGACGAUCCGUAGCUGGUCUGAGAGGAUGAUCAGCCACACUGGAACUGAGACAAGGUCCAGAAUCCUACGGGAGGCAGCAGUGGGGAAUAUUGGACAAUGGGCGGAAGCCUGAUCCAGCCAUACCGCGUGGGGGAAGAAGGCCUUCGGGUUGUAAAGCCCUUGUGUUGGGAAAGAAAAGCAGCAGGUUAAUACCCCGCUGUUCUGACGGUACCCAAAGAAUAAGCACCGGCUAACUUCGUG